rnacentral:rRNA from 1 species
AUUGAACGCUGGCGGCAGGCCUAACACGUGCAAGUCGAGCGCGAAAGUCUUCGGAUGAGUAAAGCGGCGGACGGGUGAGUAAUGCAUGGGAAUCUGCCUGGUAGUGGGGGGACAACGUUUCGAAAGAGACGCUAAUACCGCAUACGCCCUACGGGGGAAAGGGGGGGAUCUUCGGACCUCUCGCUAUCAGAUGAGCCCAUGUCAGAUUAGCUAGUUGGUAGGGUAAAGGCCUACCAAGGCGACGAUCUGUAACUGGUCUGAGAGGAUGAUCAGUCACACUGGAACUGAGACACGGUCCAGACUCCUACGGGAGGCAGCAGUGGGGAAUAUUGGACAAUGGGGGCAACCCUGAUCCAGCCAUGCCGCGUGUGUGAAGAAGGCCCUAGGGUUGUAAAGCACUUUCAGUGGGGAGAAAGGUUGUUCAGUUAAUACCUGAAUGAAUUGAUGUUACCCACAGAAGAAGCACCGGCUAACUCCGUGCCAGCAGCCGCCGUAA